AAACGUACAAUCAUGGUGUAAGGGGAAGCAAACAUGUCCUUCUUCACACAGUGGCAGCAAAGAGAAGUGCAGAGUGAAGCAGGGGGUGGGGGAGAGGGGAAAAGCCCCUUAUAAAACCAUCAUAUCUCGUGAGAACUCACUGACUAUCACGAGAACAGCAUGAGGGUAACGGCCCUCAUGAUUCAAUUACCUCCCGCUGGGUCCCUCCCACGGCACAUGGACAUUACAGGAACUACAGUUCAAGAUGAGAUUUAGGUGGGGACACAGCCAAACCAUAUCAGAAACAAUCCUAGCUGAAUCUUAGGAGGCAUACAGCAAACGCGGGGGAGCAGAACGCAUGAGCAUAGGCACUGAUGCUGAGCUUUCAGCUUGCCGGACCCUCAAUCGAAAAUGUUCUACAGCUGGAAGGGAGUGUGGGUGGAUCCUCUGAGUCAGUUAAAUGGAGGUCAGCUGGAGAUGCCACUGCCAGGCAGAAGCUGCUAAUUCUCACCACAGAUAAUACUAUGAGUCAUGAAUGUGAUGACAUCAUGAAUCCUCCCGGACAGUGGCAAUCAUCAGCCCCCCAAGUGUGAGUGCCAGUGCCUUUCUUGGAGCUGAAAGCCUUUCAUGGUGGGCGUUUCAUGAAGACCACCCCACGGGUCCCCAGACACGGUUUGCGGGCCUCAUUUCGUCCUUCCCAAGGUUCCAGGAUUUUCCAAUGCCUAUUAAAUCUUCUGUAACAAUCCAUUCAAAUACACAAGUUUGGCUAUUCAAAUUACUUUUUCCAAAAGUACUUUAAAAUGCAUUAAGUUAUUAAUUGCCUGCUGGCACUUUAAUCAAAUGGGAAAAUUGACAUAGCCAGAGGCAUGUAUUUUUGUGGAAAGAAAAUUUAUUUAAGAAGAAACAGCAGCUCUUACUGCUUAAUUUAAACUGAGAAAACUGUGGAAAAUCAACUGCUAUGGAAAAUUAAUAAAACAUUUCCAGCUGCAAACAGUGACUAAUUGUACAAGAUGAAGACUGCCCAGAAUUAAUAACUUGCAGUCUUCUGUGUGAAGAACCCCCCACCACUUCAAUUUACUGGGAGAUUAAAUUACUUCUAAGUUUGCCAUAUUAAAACAGAACAUGAAUAAAAUGUUAGUGAACGCACAUCUAUUAUUUACUGUCUGUGAUAUGGAUAUAAUUAUUUCCAAACAACUACAAUGUGACGUGACCAGUAAUAUUUAAAUGACUCUUUUAGCAAGAGAAUCUACUGCAACAUUUUUUUGCAUGAAGAAAAAAAUUCUUCUUUUACUUCUAAAGUAAUAAAAUGAUGCAUAGUGGAGUUCUACAAAUGGUGUGUCCCUGUCCCCAGUGGACUU
ensembl:lincRNA